rnacentral:rRNA from 1 species
CAGUCGCCGCGGGAAUACGAAGGGUGCAAGCGUUAAUCGGAAUUACUGGGCGUAAAGCGCGCGUAGGUGGUUUGGUAAGAUGGAUGUGAAAUCCCCGGGCUCAACCUGGGAACUGCAUCCAUAACUGCCUGACUAGAGUACGGUAGAGGGUGGUGGAAUUUCCUGUGUAGCGGUGAAAUGCGUAGAUAUAGGAAGGAACACCAGUGGCGAAGGCGACCACCUGGACUGAUACUGACACUGAGGUGCGAAAGCGUGGGGAGCAAACAGGAUUAGAUACCCCCGUAGUCCCUGUCUCUUAUAC